rnacentral:rRNA from 1 species
GUCUACGGGGGCAGCAGUGGGGAAUAUUGCACAAUGGGGGAAACCCUGAUGCAGCGACGCCGCGUGAGUGAAGAAGUAUCUCGGUACGUAAAGCUCUAUCAGCAGGGAAGAAAAAAAGUCUUUGGCUUUGGACGGUACCUGACUAAGAAGCCCCGGCUAACUACGUGCCAGCAGCCGCGGUAAUACGUAGGGGGCAAGCGUUAUCCGGAUUUAUUGGGUUUAAAGGGUGCGCAGGCGGAGGUGCAAGUCCGCGGUCAAAUUGCGGGGCUCAACCCCGUACUGCCGUUGAAACUGCAUCCCUUGAG